AGGAGACUUCUGAUGGGUCCACACUACCAUAGAACCUCUGAGGAUGCCUGCCAUAGAUGUGGGCGAAACGUCAGGAGAGAAUACUUCUGGAACAUAGCCACACAGCCCAAAAGACAUACAACAACCCUGUGAUCCCGGCCAUGAAAGCCUUCGACAACACUACCAUAGAAAGCAGGUUGCAACUGCAUUAUAAGAGUCCCACUUAUCCAACCUCUGCAUAUCCAACCUUCUGGACUAUCCAACGCAGUCUGCCUCCUGCCCGGAUUCACAGCUGUUUCUCUAGGCAGCAAGGACUGAACAUUUUACGGAUUUAACUUCUGACAAUGUUGUUACUAAACCAACUGGCAAGUAUAUGGUCAUCAUAACAGCGAAGAAAAACGUAAAAUGGGUAAGCAUUAAAGAAAAAAAAACCCAAAUGUUUACCACCAAGGGAUAGGUUUAC